AUGCUUGAAAAAGGAAAUGAGGAUUUCAAAGAAGAGAUUUUUAAACUACACAAUAAGAUUUUUCAUCUUGAAAAUGCUCUGAAACGCUCUGAAAAAGAAAAUUGUUUAUUAGAUAAGCAAGUUCAAAGAAUGCAAUUAAAACUGGAAACUGAUGAGCGAACUAUUCAAAAGUUAAUUGAAAUUCAAGAACAAAUGAAGGCAGAAAUUGAAAAUGAAAGAUCAUUAGUUAAAAGUCUGACUUCAGGACUGCAAGUAGAAGAAAACGAAGUUAAAAAAAACAAACUGCCAGUGCAAAGUGAAACUGAAAAUAUAAUGCCUGAGGAGAAAAGAGAAUUCCAAAAGGACCAUCUUACAAAACAAAAGAAAGAGCUGACUGACAAGAUAACAUAUGUAGCACCUGAUCAGGAAGCUGCUAAAAGAACACUGACUGCUGAAAAUGAUAAACUGAAGCAAUAUAAAGGUCAAGAAUGGCAAACCGUAGAAAGCCCUAGAAAAACAACUGAGCAAAGUAAUAUAAUAUGGAAAAAGAAAUUCCAGAUUCUACAAAAGAGCUUGCAUGCCAUUAAGGAUGAGAUGUUUCUUAGGCAAACCCUGCAACGUCGGUUAUUUGUGUUUAAAAGUACAUCCCUCAGUGAGACAAUGUCUUUUCCUGUUUAUAUUGAAAAUGAUACACAAGAUGUGAAAGGAUUCAGAGCUGGCUUAUAUUUACCUUUAACUUUGCCUCCAAUACAAUCCCAGUCUACUGAACAGCAGAAAGAAGGUGAAGAUAAUUUUCUUAGACUUACAAAUGCAACAAAAAAGGACAGUGUGUUUGAAGAUGGCGUGUGACUGGAUAUCUGCUUCACAUGGCUAUGAAUGACUGCACCAUCUACAAACAGCAGUAGUACAAGUGCGAAAAUCGUGUACCUCUUGAAUAAUUCCCCACCACAGACCUGUUGGCAUCCACAGGAAGUUUCUGGAAAUAUUUUUUCUUUCUGCCGGUUUUUAAAGAUGGUCUAAAAUAAUGUUUGCAGAGAUUAGAAAAAGGAUUAUUCAAACUAAUGUUCAAUUUCUAAAAGUUUGGCAACUUUCCUCCAUCGCUGCCUUCAGCUUGUUCAGACCUAAGUGCCCUCUCCUGAGGGCUGGGUUGGAGCUGAGGGUUUUCUCUUGUUUUCACUUCAGGCUCUCUUUAAUGUGCAAGCACAGAGAGAGGCAUACUGGGAAAUUAAAAUUUCAACAUUAACUAUAUAUAUAUAUAUAUGUAUGUAUAUGAAAACUUUGAUGCAUAAGAGAAGGAAACAAAAGAGUCUGCACCUAAAGAGCCUGAUUCAGCCCUUCUCAAUAACUGAAGGAAUCUGUCUAGGAUUCAGAAUCCUUCAGAAUUUUUUAAUAAAUUGAAAGAGCGUCAAUGAGUUYAGUCA
rnacentral:lncRNA from 1 species